rnacentral:misc_RNA from 1 species
GGAAGGAUCAUUCUUAUAUGAACUUCUUUGUUGACUAUGUGUUUUUUAGCACUGGUCUUCAUCAACUCUUUUGAGCAGACAAAAACCACACGUGUGUUUACCACUUUGCUAAUGGUAAAUAUCUAGUAUCAGUAUUGACAGAGGAUACAUUGACUUUCAGAACGAUGAAGAACGUAGCAAAGUGCGUUAAUUAGUGCGAAUUGCAGAAUUCAGUGAAUCAUCAAAUCUUCGAACGCAGUAGGCAACCAUUGGUUAGUCCAGUGGUUGUGCAUUCUUGACUCUAACACCUUCUUGAGAAUUCAUUCUCAGCUCUAAGUUAUAUUGUUUCAUAGCAGCAAUCUCCGCAUUACGAAGACAUAACACUUUUUGUGAUGUGCUGGCUGAUUUUGAAUUUAACGACCUUAGGAGUCAAGCAAAGCACGACAACCCCCUGGAUUUAAGCAUAUAACUAAGGGGAGGAAAAGAAACCAAAUCGGAUUUCCUGAGUAACGGCGAGUGAAUCGGGAAAAGUUCAAUCUUGUAAUCGCAAGGCAUUUUGUCUUGUGAGAUGUAGUGUAUGGAAACUUGUUCAGAAUGUGGCACUGGUCUAAGUUCACUGAAAAGUGAUGCAUCGACAGGUGAUAGCCCUAUCUUUGGCUUGAAGUCCGCUUCGUACGAACAGUUUUCUGAGAGUCGGACUGCUUGGGAGUGCAGUCUUAAUGGGAGCUAAAGUCCUUCCAAAACUAAACAUAUCUGAAAGAUCGAUAGAACACAAGUACCACGAGGGAAAUGUGAAAAGAACUUUGAAAAGAGAGUUAAAAGUAUUUGAAACUGUCAAUAAUUAAGCGAUCAGUUUUGUUGGUUUUUUGCUUGCUCUUUCGUUCUACUCAAGGAUAGCUCUUUCCAUUCUGUUGUGGUGUGGAAUCUUUUUUUGUUCUUGAGUGGAGUGGGAGUGAGUGAGGUAUGGGAAGCUGUUUGCGUUCAUUGAAUCUACGCAGAAGAAAGGUAGCGUGUGAUUGUUAUGCAUGAUCCGUGAAUAUCUUCUGAAAGUGCAAUGUUCAUCUUUCAUGUCUUUUCAUACAUACGGGACUGAUCGGCUCGUCUUGAAACACGAACCAAGGAGUGUAACGCUUGUGCAAGUGUUGGACAUUAACAGUACCAACGCGUAAUGAAAGUGUAGAUAAAGACUAUCUUUAUUCAGAUACAUCUCUGUUUUGCAGAAUCUGUAUCGCCCGAUUUCUUCCUUUGUGAGAAUUUCGAGGUAUAGCACAAUCGAUACGACCCGAAAGAUGGUGAGCUAUACCCGCACAGGGUGAAGCCAGGGGAAACUCUGGUGGAGGUCCGUAGCGGUACUGACGUGCAAAUCGUUCGUCUGAUGUGGGUAUAGGGGCGAAAGACUUAUCGAACCAUCUAGUAGCUGGUUUCCUC